CCCCACUUCUGGGUUUUGCCGGAAGAUCACAUUUCCUAGUCUCCUUUGCAGCUGUACUUCAGCCACAUGACUGGAUUCUGGCCGCUGAAAUGUGGAUAGUAAUGACCUAAUGAUGUUAAACGGAUCUAAUUAUUCCUGAUGCUUGGAGUGGAAAGUCAGAUGUAUACAGUGCUGUCCAAGCUCACCAGGAAGUUCUAGAAAUGCUUCCUCAGGCUGUACCAGGGAAGGUGGGCUCUGGAGAGUGGACAGUCCAGUCGAGGCAAGGUGAACGUUUCACUGAAGCUUUCUACAGGACAGAGCCUGCAACACUGCCACAACCCAUUUUUUGUUGACAUAAACCUUGUUCUCCCAACAACCCUGUCAGCACACAUAGCUGAGUUUUCAUCCAUCACAUGUGGGCGCGAUGCGUCUGCACCUCCACCACCCCUGCACCUUCACCAUCAAAGCAUCUUUGAGCGACUUGCAUUUGGCAGUGGCUGAAGAAUGCAGUGUGUGCGGCGGAGAGGAGAAGAGGGGGUCCAAUCGGGCCCAGAUGUCAGGACCCCCCAACCCCAGCCGUCUUGGGACGGAGCUCAGAGGAAGAGACCCCCACUGGGGUUCCCAGGGGCUGACUGCCCACUCGGCGCGGCUGCUCAGUGUCAGCCCCGUGGUCUGCAGAGGCAGCUGGCGCCCGGCCCGAUGCAGUCUUUGUCUCUUCUUCCUCUGAAGUCAUCCUGGGACACAGGUGUGCUUCCCCCAAAGCCAGCGGGCAGAGGGGAAGACGCGCCCCAGAGCAGCUGUCAGCUGAAACUCACCGAAGGAGCGCGGAGCCCUCCGACCGCAGCUGAGGAGAAUUCGAGGCUUGCCCGGAGAAGAAUCCCUGAGAUUCUUUAAAGGAAGAAUGCUCCCACAGAUGUGCAGCAUCUGGCCUGUGGAGGGGGUUUCCCUGCCCCGGAGAACGGAGACCAGCCAGCUCAGGAGAUGCCCAGGGGUCCAGACAAGCGGUCCCCACUCGCAGCUCUGAAUUGUGCUUCCCAGAAGGUCAAGUGCGAGCCCAAAUGCCUCUUGCUCUCCCUUAGCAGUUUUGUCCUCCGCUCCCCGCGUACUCUCCAUGGCUCCUGAUGUCUAUGGCUGAGACUGAAGACUCAUAGCCUUGCCUCCGAGCCUUGGCUUUUGCUGUUCAUUCUCCGUGCCUGUUUGGUCACCACCCCACUCCCUUUAAGUGGCCAUCUAAUUUGUUAGGACUCUUCCCACUGCAAACGAGAGAAGUCCACCUCCAUCUGGCUUUAAGCAAAACAAAAACUAUUGAGUUAAAAAUUAUCGAGUAAUGUAACCUAAAGUCUAGGACUGUUUGAUUUUCAAGUUAGGUAUAGCUGGGUCUAGCUCUUCUCAGGACCUUACGUUCGCCAGUUUCUCCAGGUCUAGUCUCUGUUUUUUCUACCUUAGCUCCAGUUUCAAGCGGGUAUCAGAUGGGCUGGCCCUAGCACCCUUUCUACAGAAGGGCAUCGCUUCUUUCCUAGGCUGUAGUCCUGGGAUGGCCAUGGGCUAGCCAUCUUGGACACAUACGUGCUCACAAAUGAAUGACUCACUGGUGUCAAGGGGGA
ensembl:lncRNA